ensembl:lncRNA
AUCUCUUUCUGGAGAUACCUCCUUGGUGAAGCUUUCUCCUAUAAGCUUAGACUCUUCUGAUAUGGGUGCCAGUGGAUAUGGCUUUUCUAGAAAUCUCAUCACUUUUGUCUGAAGCUCAUGGAAGAGGUGGAUUUUAUAUUGUUUUCCUGAAGUUAGCCCUAAAAACCUCCUACGCUGCACUUUAGAUAGGAUGGUUAUUGAACGUUGCAGCUCCGGUCACAGCUGUACAACAUGCAUUUACACAUGGGAUUAUGAAGAUGCUCUAUAAUUUCAGACUUGAGGUUUACUUUGAGGGUCAUUUUUAGCUUUUCAGAAGAUUCCUGGUGUACAAGAUUCUGGCACGUCCUUCACUCUUCCAGGACCUCUGGUUUCUUGUGCUCCUCAAACAUGUUCAGAAUUUCCUAAAUACUGGGUCAGCUCAGUGGGUUAGGAGCAGUGAUUGCUGCUUCUUGUGCCUGGUUAUCAAAACCUUUGAAACUGGGCAUGUUGGCAAGAAAAUAGGAAAGUAUUGAAUUACUCUUUGGAGAUUAUGAUCACACAUAGGAUGUAGAGAGUCCAGUCUCAAGAGGUACAUAAGGAAGCCUUUUAAAAACAGUUUUGGAAGGCUUUAAAGAAGAUGACUUGCAAUGUAAAUCAGCCUGGAGUCAUUGGACCCCCAAAGCAGUAAAUGACGGGAAGCACAGGCCUGAGGGGCUGCGUUACCCCUGCAAACCUAAACCCUCAUCCCAAAAUACCUUUUACAGCCACCAAAGGAUCCCCUGGAGGAUGUACACUGGCUGCUUCUUUCAGAGAAAUAUUAUAAAUAGAAUGGGAAUAAGUAAACACACUGUGUUGACACAAGGGCAGCUUUGUUGAAGCUUUUUCACACCGAGUGGCAAACUGCCUACACUGUGCCAAUUCACAUCCAUCCCAUCAGCAGGCAAGGCAGCCCUUGGAGGGACGAGCAGCAGAGCAAGCUCGGGAUGAAAUGACCAGUCAUAGAAUCAGAGAAUCAUAGAAUGGCUUGGGUUGAAAGGAUCCCCAGGGAUCAUCAGUAGAGUCCUCUAGCCAUGGGGCUUGAUGUAGUGCACAGCCCUGUGGGCUCUCUGGCAUGCAGUUGGGGCACAUGGGGGCUGUGCAUGGGACCAUUCUCUGGAGUGGUUGAGAAUGGGAAGGGCUGGGAUGGAAGGCAAGGGGAAAACAUUGGUACAGGAGUCUCAAGCUGGGGUGUGUCUGAUGGUGACUUUCUUCGUGAGAGUUGUUUAGUAGGAUGAUUAAUAAAAAUUUGGUACUCAGUACAUGAGUAGAUGUCAGAGACUGGACCUGUAAUAGCUUAGUAAGACCUUUCCCAGUCCUGUCAAUUAGUUUUCAAUUAGAGUUUUGUUUCAGUGUUGUAUAUGGUCUACGGGUUUAUGCUGUGUCUUAGAAUCAUAGAACCAUAGUCGGUAUUGAGUUGGAAGAAACCUACAUGGAUCAUAGAAUCAUGAAGGUUGGAAAAGACCACUGAAAUCAUCUAAGGUCAUCUAGUCCAACCCUAACCCAUCCCAUCAUGCUCAGUGCCACAUCUCCAUGGAGGAACACCUCUGGGGAUGGUGACUUUGCCACCUCCUUGGGGAGCCAGGAUCACCAAGUCCAGCUUUUGGCUGUGCACAGCACCAUCCAAACCCUAUGGCUGAGAGCAGUGUUGCAGUUCUCCCUGAGCUCCAUCAGCUCGGGGCUGUGCCCACUGCCCUGGGCAGCCUGUUCCAUGCCCACCACUCUGGGAGAGAACCUUUCCAUGUAAGCAAGCAACAGUGGCAUUGAAGCAAAUUUGAAAUGGGCUUUUUUUGUGUGUGUGCACACUUUCUGCCGGUGAAGAACAAUGCACU